ACUCUGAUGCAGCGACGCCGCGUGAGCGAUGAAGCCCUUCGGGGUGUAAAGCUCUUUCGCCGGGGAAGAUAAUGACGGUACCCGGAGAAGCAGCUGCGGCUAACUACGUGCCAGCAGCCGCGGUAAUACGUAGGCAGCAAGCGUUGUUCGGAGUUACUGGGCGUAAAGGGUGUGUAGGCGGCGCUCUAAGUUUGGUGUGAAAUCUCCCGGCUCAACCGGGAGGGUGCGCCGAAGACUGGGGGGCUAGAGUAUGGGAUGGGAGAGUGGAAUUCCUGGUGUAGCGGUGAAAUGCGUAGAUAUCAGGAGGAACACCUGCGGUGUAGACGGCUCUCUGGACCAUAACUGACGCUGAGACACGAAAGCGUGGGUAGCAAACAGGAUUAGAUACCCUGGUAGUCCACGCCCUAAACGAUGCAUACUUGGUGUGGGCCAUUCAUUUGGUCCGUGCCGGAGCUAACGCGUUAAGUAUGCCGCCUGGGGAGUACAGUCGCAAGGCUGAAACUCAAAGGAAUUGACGG
rnacentral:rRNA from 1 species